rnacentral:rRNA from 1 species
UACCUACGGGAGGCAGCAGUGAGGAAUAUUGGUCAAUGGCCGGAAGGCUGAACCAGCCAAGUCGCGUGAGGGACGACUGCCCUAUGGGUUGUAAACCUCUUUUAUAAGGGAAGAAUAAAUGCUACGUGUAGCAUGAUGCCUGUACCUUAUGAAAAAGCAUCGGCUAACUCCGUGCCAGCAGCCGCGGUAAUACGGAGGAUGCGAGCGUUAUCCGGAUUUAUUGGGUUUAAAGGGUGCGUAGGCGGCUUUUUAAGGUAGGGGUUAAACGUCGGGGCUUCACCCUGGUUUGGCGUU